rnacentral:sRNA from 1 species
CAGACGACGAGGCCUUCGAGGACAGCGAUGAUGGGGACUUCGAGGGCCAAGAGGUGGACUACAUGUCAGACGGCUCCAGCAGCUCCCAAGAAGAGCCUGAGAGCAAGGCCAAGGCACCGCAGCAGGAGGAGGGGCCCAAGGGUAGGCGAUGGCUGGGCGGGCCGGGGAGAUGGGGGCGGUGCUUCCCUGCUCUUGCUCAUACCCUGCCCCUCCCAGGUGUCGAUGAGCAGAGCGACAGUAGUGAGGAGAGUGAGGAGGAGAAGCCGCCUGAGGAGGAAAAGGAGGAGGAGGAGGAGAAGAAGGCGCCCACCCCGCAGGAGAAGAAGCGCAGGAAAGACAGCAGCGAGGAGUCGGACAGCUCAGAGGAGAGCGACAUUGACAGUGAGGCCUCCUCAGCCCUCUUCAUGGCGAAGAAGAAGACGCCACCCAAGAGAGAGCGGAAGCCGUCGGGAGGGAGCUCAAGGGGCAACAGCCGCCCAGGCACACCCAGCGCAGAGGGUGGCAGCACCUCCUCCACCCUGCGGGCGGCUGCCAGCAAACUCGAGCAAGGGAAGCGGGUGAGCGAGAUGCCUGCAGCCAAGCGGUUGCGGCUGGACGCGGGACCCCAGAGCCUGUCCGGGAAGUCGACACCCCAGCCACCAUCAGGCAAGACAACACCCAGCAGCGGCGACGUGCAGGUGACUGAGGAUGCCGUGCGCCGCUACCUGACACGGAAGCCCAUGACCACUAAGGACCUGCUGAAAAAGUUCCAGACCAAGAAGA